GGCAUUUUCAACAUGAUGAAAAAAAUAAAUAACAACAUAUAUGAAUAGAUAUGUUACAGCUCAUAGUGGGAUACCAUCCCGAAAACAUUUCAAUAUUCAGUCUUUUGUUACAGUGAUUUUGACCUUUUUCAUAUUUACCCCAUAAUCUAUACCUUUUUAUUUCGUCCCUUUGAAUGAGAUUCAAUCCGAACAAGCAAAGGAUAAUAAUGGUACCUUCCGAAAACCAUUUUACCCCAAACAUAUUUGUUUUAGAAAAAAACAAUUUAUAGAAUAUUAUUUUCAGUAUGGCGACGGACCACCUAAAACCAAAUGAUGAGUAGGAUUUCUGUCAAAUAAUUUGUUUUUAGUGUAUUUUAGUAGCUUAAUUCGUUUUAGAUUAACGACGAAAUAGUAAAAACAAGCCAAAUUGAUCAGUUGGAUGAACCUUACCUCGAAUUUGAUUCAUUUUAGAUCAUUGUGCUCAUUUUAUGGAAAGACACGUACGGACAGAAAUAUAUGUACAUAUGAUAUUUCAAGAUUGAUCACUUUUCCUACCUUGAAAUAUGAAUUCAUAUGCAUGGAACGAAAGGAAUUGGUUUCUUCAAAAUGAAUGUACCCAGUAACAGGUUUCAUUGCAAUCAAGCAAGGUAAACUCGUGUAACAAUCCGGUAACCAUUUUCUUUUAUAAACUUUUGUUUAGUAAAAGAAACAUUAAAUGGGCAUUUUCUCCACAGUAUCUUUCCACUGUAUAAAUGUCAUUUAAAUCUGGCAGGGUUUAGUCAAGUUAUUAUAUCACAUCCUUCUUUUAGUAACAGUGACAUUAUGUCGUAAUCAAUAGGCUCUCUAUGUUAUAAGUAACGAAGACAAAAACGGAAGGAUAGACGGAUCACUGAAAAAGCAAUAGAUAUAUGGUUCCGUUUUAUUUUCAUGGAGAUAAAAAAAAAACACCAGAAAACAGAUUAUUUUCAACAGCAAGAAUUAACUCGAUUGUAUACACACUUCACUAUUUGAUUAAUCGUUAAUAAAAUUUUGAAGUUUUCAUUCAUUUGUACAGUUGAAUAUUAAAG
rnacentral:lncRNA from 1 species